rnacentral:rRNA from 1 species
AACACUAGCUACAGGCUUAACACAUGCAAGUCGAGGGGAAACGAUAGAGAAAGCUUGCUUUUUCUAGGCGUCGACCGGCGCACGGGUGAGUAACGCGUAUCCAACCUGCCCACCACUUGGGGAUAACCUUGCGAAAGUAAGACUAAUACCCAAUGACGUCUCUAGAAGACAUCUGAAAGGGAUUAAAGAUUUAUCGGUGAUGGAUGGGGAUGCGUCUGAUUAGCUUGUUGGCGGGGUAACGGCCCACCAAGGCAACGAUCAGUAGGGGUUCUGAGAGGAAGGUCCCCCACAUUGGAACUGAGACACGGUCCAAACUCCUACGGGAGGCAGCAGUGAGGAAUAUUGGUCAAUGGGCGAGAGCCUGAACCAGCCAAGUAGCGUGCAGGAAGACGGCCCUACGGGUUGUAAACUGCUUUUAUGAAGGAAUAAUGAGGGUCACGUGUGGCCCGUUGCAUGUACUUCAUGAAUAAGGACCGGCUAAUUCCGUGCCAGCAGCCGCGGUAAUACGGAAGGUCCGGGCGUUAUCCGGAUUUAUUGGGUUUAAAGGGAGCGUAGGCCGCCUGGUAAGCGUGUUGUGAAAUGUCGUUGCUCAACAACGUCACUGCAGCGCGAACUGCUGGGCUUGAGUGUGCGGAAAGCGGGCGGAAUUUGUGGUGUAGCGGUGAAAUGCUUAGAUAUCACGAAGAACUCCGAUCG